AACGACUCUCGGCAACGGAUAUCUCGGCUCUCGCAUCGAUGAAGAACGUAGCGAAAUGCGAUACUUGGUGUGAAUUGCAGAAUCCCGUGAACCAUCGAGUCUUUGAACGCAAGUUGCGCCCUAAGCCUUCUGGCCGAGGGCACGUCUGCCUGGGUGUC
rnacentral:rRNA from 1 species